UCGGGUGGUUUUGACGCCGUCAUGAAUGAGAUAAUGUCUGUGCAGUGAUGUCACACAGGAAGUCUAAAUAAGCUUAGACGGAAAGCAAUACACCCACACACACACACCCACACACAAACACACACACACACAAACACACACACACAAACACACACACUCCCUCUGGGAUCGGACAACAGGAAAUGCUCCCUCAUCGCUCUCCUCCUUUUCUCUCUCAUUUCCUCUGCCUCUCUUUUCUCUCCCUCCAUCUCGCCCUCCCUCUCCCUCCCCUGCUCUUUAUUAUUUCUUAGACGAUUAUUAUUGCUCUCUGUAACUAAUGUCCCUCCUAUAGGAUGGAUAAGUGGAUAAGAUUAAUAUCCACUGUCGGUCUGUCUGUAACUCAUUUCCAUCCCAUAACAUGAAGAAGUGGAUAAGAUAAAUAUGUAUCAGUCAGUCAGUCUCUUUGUCUAUUUGGCCAUCCAUCCAUCGAUACUAAAACAAGAUAGAUAGACAGAUAGAAGGAUGGAUAGAUGUACUAAUCGUAGUACUCCCUCUGUCCUUCUUCCAUCCACACUUCCAGCCAUGUUUGUGAUUGAGACCAAACAGCCCCCCGCCCUAUCCACACAGACACACACACGCGAAUCUCCCCUCCCUGUAUGUGAGGUUCUGUCUGGGAAGACAGCACCCCAAUCAGUAUCCUGGUUUGGAUUGGGGAGGUGGGCAGGGUGGGGGGUGGAGGGUGGCGGGGUUAGGGAGAGUUAAGCUGUGCUUUUUAUUCUGCUCUACAUAAUCAAAACCACCAACAACAGCAGAGAGAAUGAAACCAUAUCAAUCCUCCCGUGUGUGUGCGUGUGUGUGUGUGUGUGUGCAUGCGUGUUUUGCCUUUGUUUUGUUUUAGUGCACAAAAGAUGGCCACAGAAUGUAGUCAUGCAUUGCGUUAAGCCACUAACUUUGUUGCUCUACUCCGGAAGUUUCUUGAGUGCAGGAGGGGUGGAAGACAUAUAAAUUUAGCACAAAAAGUAAGGAAAUUUGUGUUUGUUAGAUUAUUUCUCUGUGGUAACAAUGCUUUUUGGCAAUAAAUCGUAUACCGUUGGAAAGCCUGUUUAGUUCCCUUUCAAAUGGUGCCCCAUUUGUAAGGAACUUGCAUUUGUGGGAUGAGCAGGAGCGCUGAGUAUGUGCGUCUCUCUCGCUCUCAAAAAUUUGGCAAAUCUUUUCUGCCAUUGCCAUUGUUUUGAGAUUCUGGUACCCCCAGGUGCUGCCAAUAAGGUACCUGAUUGGCCCCUUAUUGGGCAACUUCAAGCUGGUGUUCCGCAAAACCAAGUAGCGGUAUUAUCUGGAGUGAGCCCUAGUACCCUCUCCAAACUGAAGGCCAUGUUCCAUAUAACAGGGGGAUGUCAAAGACAGGCCGCGAAGUGGGCGUCUCCAGAAGACGACAUCCCAAGAAGACCGUUUCAUCACCCUGUCAGCACUUAGUUGGCUGUCUUUUACAGAUAUGCAGUGAAGGUUUGCAGGACGAUAUGGCCGACGGCUCUCUGCCCAGACAAUCGGGAACAGACUCCACGCAGCCAAUCUCCGGUCUCAUAGGGCUGCCAGGAGUCCUGCCAUGACUGCCCUUCAGCGUCAGGCCCGUUUGCGCUGGUGUCGGCAACACGUGCACUGGAACCAGAACAUGUGGGGGAACUUCAUGUUCAGUGAUGAGUCCAGAUUCUGCCUACGGCAGCUGGAACUUAAGGUCAAAGUGUGGAGAAGAUGCGGAGAACGCUAUGCUGAUUGCUGCCCCGAUAGAACAACAUAUAUUGGUGGAGGCAGUGUGAUGGCGUGGGGUGGCGUCUCCCUCACUGGAAAAACGAGGCUUGUCAUCAUUGAAGGCAAUCUCAAUGCAGAGAGAUAUAGAGAUGAGAUCCUGCAACCAGUGGCAAUCCCAUAUCUCCACAGUCUGGGACCGAACUCUAUCCUCCAAGAUGACAACGCUCGCCCCCACAGGGCGGGGUUUAUCAGAGACUACCUGCAGAAUGUGGGAGUGGAGAGGAUGGAAUGACCUGCUAGCAGUCCUGACCUCAACCCCAUUGAACCCUUGUGGGAUCAGCUUGGGCGUGCUGUUCGUGCCAGAGUGACCAACACAACCACGUUGGCUGACUUGUGACAAAUGCUGGUUGAAGAAUGGGAUGCCAUCCCACAGCAGUGUGUGACCAGGCUGGUGACCAGCAUGAGGAGGAGGUGCCAGGCUGUUGUGGCUGGGUAUGGUUCUUCCACACGCAACUGAGGCUCCUGUUUGUGAAAUGAAUAAAUUGUUUAAUUGCCAA